GAUGAAGAACGUAGCGAAAUGCGAUAAGUAAUGCGAAUUGCAGAAUUCAGUGAAUCAUCGAAUCUUUGAACGCACAUUGCGCCCUUUGGUAUUCCAAAGGGCAUGCCUGUUCGAGCGUCAUUUGUACCCUCAAGCUUUGCUUGGUGUUGGGCGUUUUUGUCUUUGGCCCGCCAAAGACUCGCCUUAAAAUGAUUGGCAGCCGGCCUACUGGUUUCGCAGCGCAGCACAUUUUUGCGCUUGCAAUCAGCAAAAGAGGACGGCAAUCCAUCAAGACUCCUUCUCACGUUUGACCUCGGAUCAGGUAGGGAUACCCGCUGAACUUAAGCAUAUCAAUAAGCGGAGGA
rnacentral:misc_RNA from 1 species